rnacentral:rRNA from 1 species
UACGGGGGGGGCAAGCGUUGUUCGGAAUUACUGGGCGUAAAGGGCUCGUAGGUGGCCAACUAAGUCAGACGUGAAAUCCCCAGGCUCAACUUGGGAACUGCGUCUGAUACUGGAUGGCUUGAAUUCGGGAGAGGGAUGCAGAAUUCCAGGUGUGGCGGUGAAAUGCGCAGAUAUCGGGAGGAACACCAAUGGCGAAGGCAGCUCGCUGGGACGUUACUGACGCUGAGACGCGAAAGCGUGGGGAGCAAACAGG